GGGUCAGUAGGUUGGUCGUGCCACCGGUACGUACUGGUCUCACUGAUUCCUCCUUCCUGAAGAACCGUAAUGCCAUUAAUUUGGUGUUGCGGGGAAACAGGACUGUUACUUUGAAAAAAUUAGAGUGCUUAAAGCAAGCUAACGCUUGAAUACAUUAGCAUGGAAUAAUGAAAUAGGACGAUCGAUCCUAUUUUGUCGGUUUCUAGGAUUGACGUA
rnacentral:rRNA from 1 species